CAAAGGUUUGGUCCUGGCCUUACUGUUAAUUUUUAUUAGACCUACACAUGCAAGUUUCCGCACCCCAGUGAGUAUGCCCUUUUAACUUGUCUAGAGUAUAAAGGAGCUGGUAUCAGGCACACUUAAUUAAGCAGCCCAUGACACCUUGUUCUACCACACCCCCACGGGUAACAGCAGUGACUAACAUUGAGCCAUAAACGAAAGUUUGACUAAAUCAUAAUAAACAAGGGUUGGUAAAUCUCGUGCCAGCCACCGCGGUCAUACGAUUAACCCAAAUUAACAGAAAAACGGCGUAAAGGGUGUUUAAGCACAUAAACCUCACAAUAAAGUUAAAAACUAACUACGCUGUAAUACGCCCUAGUUGACAUUAAAAUACGCAACUUACGUGACUUUACUAUUGCUGAAGACACUAAAGCUAAGGUACAAACUGGGAUUAGAGACCCCACUAUGCUUAGCCGUAAACUUAGGUAAUUAAAUAACAAAAUUACUCGCCAGAGAACUACUAGCCACUGCUUAAAACUCAAAGGACUUGGCGGUGCCCUAGACCCUCCUAGAGGAGCCUGUUCUAUAAUCGAUAAACCCCGAUACACCUCACCUCUUCUAGCUAAACAGUCUAUAUACCGCCAUCGUCAGCUCACCCCAAUAGGGCUUCAAAGUGAGCAAGAUCAUCAAACAUAAAAACGUUAGGUCAAGGUGUAGCAUAUGAAGAGGGAAGCAAUGGGCUACAUUUUCUAUACUAGAACAUACGAAUUGUCUACUGAAACAAAGACAUGAAGGAGGAUUUAGUAGUAAAUUAAGAAUAGAGAGCUUAAUUGAAAUAGGCAAUAGGGUGCGUACACACCGCCCGUCACCCUCCUCAAUAAAGUAACUUUUAAUACCUAAUUAGAAUACGCAAAAAGAGGAGAAAAGUCGUAACAUGGUAAGUGUACUGGAAAGUGCACUUGGACAAUC
rnacentral:ncRNA from 1 species